rnacentral:rRNA from 1 species
CCUACGGGAGGCUGCAGUGAGGAAUAUUGGUCAAUGGGCGAGAGCCUGAACCAGCCAAGUCGCGUGAAGGAUGACGGCCCUACGGGUUGUAAACUUCUUUUGUCAGGGAGCAAUUGGGUCCACGCGUGGGCUUAGCGAGUGUACCUGCAGAAAAAGCAUCGGCUAACUCCGUGCCAGCAGCCGCGGUAAUACGUAGGGGGCAAGCGUUCUACGGAUUGACUGGGUGUAAAGGGAGCGUAGGUGGCAUGGUAAGCCAGAAGUGAAAACCCGGGGCUCAACCCCGCGGAUUGCUUUUGGAACUAUCAGGCUGGAGUGCUGGAGGGGUAAGCAGAAUUCCUAGUGUAGCGGUGAAAUGCGUAGAUAUUAGGAGGAACACCGGUGGCGAAGGCGGCUUACUGGACAGAAACUGACGCUGAGGCGCGAAAGCGUGGGGAGCAAACAGGAUUAGAUACCCUUGUAGUC